UAAUCGCGGAUCAGCAUGCCGCGGUGAAUACGUUCCCAGGCCUUGUACACACCGCCCGUCACACCAUGGGAGUUGGAUUCACCCGAAGGCAGUGCGCUAACCGCAAGGAGGCAGCUGACCACGGUGGGUUCAGCGACUGGGGUGAAGUCGUAACAAGGUAGCCGUAGGGGAACCUGCGGCUGGAUCACCUCCUUUCUAAGG
rnacentral:rRNA from 1 species